rnacentral:misc_RNA from 1 species
UAAUAAAAGUGAAAUAAUUUAUGGCACUUUUAAAACAAUCCAUAUCCACCUUGUGUGCAAUGUUUAUUUUUAUAUAUUAACUCUUUUUUUAACAUAUAUUAUCUGAAAUUAUUUUAUGAAUUUAUUUACUUAAUUCAAAAAUA